ACAGCACCAGAACAGCACAUCGACACAGAGGUAAACACAGCACCAGAACAGCACAUCGACACAGAGGUAAACACAGCACCAGAACAGCACAUCAAAACAGAGGGUAAACACAGCACCAGAACAGCACAUCGACACAGAGGUAAACACAGCACCAGAACAGCACAUCAAAACAGAGGGUAAACACAGCACCAGAACAGCACAUCGACACAGAGGUAAACACAGCACCAGAACAGCACAUCAAAACAGAGGUAAACACAGCACCAGAACAGCACAUCAAAACAGAGGUAAGAACAGCACAUCAAAACAGAGGUAAACACAGCACCAGAACAGCACAUCAAAAGAGGUAAACACAGCACCAGAACAGCACAUCAAAACAGAGGUAAACACAGCACCAGAACAGCAUCACGAAAAACCUGAAUUAUAUUGGCUGUCUUUUAGAUGAAAAACAGCUAACCCUCUGUGUAACUUCAUUUCCCCUGUGUUAGAUUAAUUGUUAACUCACUGAAGUGUUACCUGAAAGCUGGAAUCUGCAUUUUGCAUUUGUUUUUGUUUUGUUUAUGAAAUGGAGGAGAGUAGCAUCCAGCAUCGUGAUGAAAAAAAUUGCAAUUCAUACUCUUCCCUUCUAUCGUGCGUGCAAUGGUGUGCAUGAUGUCCUAGGGAAACAAACAUUCUUCAUUGUUUUAAGGAAUUUCUUUGUUAUUGUAAUAUCGCAAAUGGAUGUGGCAGUUUCACCAAUACUGAUUCCAGCCUUAACAUGUGUUUGCCUGAGAUGAAUUAGGCCUAGAGACAAUGGGAACAUUUCUAUCGAUUUGAAUGAAUAACUGAUUCCU